GUCAUCAUUUUAGACGUCAACGUUAUAGUAACUCGAAAACUGCGAAUACGGAUAGAGAGAACUUUGAUCAAAUAGAUAAAAAUGGAAACACGGGAUCUGUUGUAUAAGCCGAACUUAUCAUAUAAUAUCCAUUACAGGGAAGAGCCACAAGACGAGAUAGACGAGGAAUAAGUGAUUAUAUGCAUCAGAGUUUAUGAAACUAUUUUUUUUAUAAUUUGUUAAUAAAGUCAAGAAACAUC